AGUGAACGCUGGCGGUAGGCCUAACACAUGCAAGUCGAACGGCAGCACAGGAGAGCUUGCUCUCUGGGUGGCGAGUGGCGGACGGGUGAGGAAUACAUCGGAAUCUACUCUGUCGUGGGGGAUAACGUAGGGAAACUUACGCUAAUACCGCAUACGACCUACGGGUGAAAGCAGGGGACCUUCGGGCCUUGCGCGAUUGAAUGAGCCGAUGUCGGAUUAGCUAGUUGGCGGGGGAAAGGCCCACCAAGGCGACGAUCCGUAGCUGGUCUGAGAGGCGCAUCAGCCACACUGGAACUGAGACACGGUCCAGACUCCUACGGGAGGCAGAAGUGGGGAAUAUUGGACAAUGGGCGCAAGCCUGAUCCAGCCAUACCGCGUGGGUGAAGAAGGCCUUCGGGUUGUAAAGCCCUUUUGUUGGGAAAGAAAUCCAGCUGGCUAAUACCCGGUUGGGAUGACGGUACCCAAAGAAUAAGCACCGGCUAACUUCGUGCCAGCAGCCGCCGUAA
rnacentral:rRNA from 1 species